UGAAGACAGACUUUGUGCUCCC
rnacentral:piRNA from 1 species